rnacentral:lncRNA from 1 species
UAACAUCUUGAUUUGGAGGAUUAUUGGGAUGAUCAGAAUGUUCAACUGAAUUGGUAAUCUGCAAAUCAGGAACUUCAAGAUUCACUUUAAGUGUUUUUGAAGCAGGAAAAAUUGAUUUAUGAGGCUUUGAAAUGUUCAUUGAAGCAAAGGGAUAGAUGUUCUCAUGAAAUAUCACAUCCCUAGAAACAAAAGUCUUCCUUGUGUCAAGAUUAAGGACUUUAUACCCUUUCUUACCAUGUGGAUAUCCUAAGAAAAGACAAGGUAAGGCCCUUGGAUCAAAUUUUGACCUGUGAGAUGAAAGAGUAGAAACAAAACACAAACAUCCAAAACAAUUAAGUCCUGAGUAGUUAGGCUUAGUUUUAAAUAAGAUCUCAUAAGGUAUCUUAAGCUUUAAGACCUUUGAAUGGAACCUGUUAAUUAAAUGUGUUGAAGUCAACACACAAUCUCCCCAAAACUGAAUAGGUAGAUGUGAUUGAUAGAGCAAAGCCCUAGAAGUCUCUAGAAGAUGCUUAUGUUUGCACUCCACAAUUCCAUUUUGUUGAGGAGUUCCAACACAAGUUGUCUGAUGCAAAAUUCCUUGUUUUGAAAAAAAAUCUGCAUGUGCAGUCCCUGUUCCAAGCUCAAAUCAUUAUCUGAACGUAUGAUUUUGACUAUGUUGUGAAACUGUCUCUCUAUCAUAGCUAAAAAAGAUUGCAAUACUGGAAAUACAUUUGAUUUUGUGCUAAAAAGAUAUGUCCAAGUACCCCUACGAUAGUCAUCAACUAUGGUUAGAAAGUACUUAAAUCCAUCAUAAGUGGUUGUGUUGUAAGGACCCCAUGUAUCUAUGUGAAUUAAAUCAAACAUAGCUGUAGAAGUAGUUAAACUAGUGGGAAAGGGUAAUUUCGACUGUCUAGCCAUAUGACAUAUCACACAAGGCACAAAAAAAUUAUCACAUGAAGAAUUAGGAAUAGAUGAAAUAUUCUUCAUAUUACUCAAAGGCAUAUGUCCUAAACGACAGUGCCACAACUUGUUCUUUACAUUAGAAUUACUAGAGAAGGAAAAUAAAACUGAAGGAACUUUUUGAUUACAUAGAUUUUUUCCUAACAUAGACAAACUACUAGAUAAAGAUGACUUCUUGGAAAUGAGUUCCAAUUGCCUUGAUUCCAGAACAUAAAGACCACAAUUCUCCCUACCAAUCACCAGAGGCUUUUUCAUUGGAGGGGCCUGCAAAAAACAGAAAAGAGAAGUGAAUAAUAUGAGAUAGUUAUUCUGUUUGCACAAUUUAUGAACUGACAAAAAAUUGAAUCUAAAAGCAGGGACAUACAACACAUUGUGAAGAAUCAGGUUUGGAAAAAGUGAAACUGAACCUGAAUGUGUGACUCUGACCUUAUGAGAAUUUGGUAAAUUUACACUUAAAUAUUUAGGUAAAUGAGUUAUAUUAUAAAGAGCAGUUUCAUCAAAAGUCAUAUGUUCAGAUGCACCACUAUCUAAUAUCCAUGUCUCACUGUUGUUAUGUGCAAAACAAGUAGUGCAAUUAUGUGAGAAAGAUAUACUAACACAAUUAACAUCUGCAUUGUUUUCAGAGCUGUUGGUUCCCUGUUUUCCCAUCUGCACUUGGUGAAAGAGUUGUAGGAUCUGCCUGGUAUUUUCUUGAGUAAGUGACUUAAUUCCUGCAGUCUCUACUGCAUUUUCUUCAGUGCUGAAAGCAUUGUUACCUUGAAUUGACCCUUGGUAUUUUCUUUGAUUUGUGAACUUGAAAUCUGAGGGAAAUCCAACAAGCCUGUAGCAUUGUUCGACAACACGACCUGGCUUCUUGCACUAUGAACAGGUAGAGUUGUUUUUCUUUCCCUCAUACCCAUGUUUUUCUCAAAAUCCCUCACAUUGUUUCUCUUACCAACUGUCCCAUGUUGUGCAUCAAUAAAGGAGGCUGGUUCUCCGGGAUAAACAGGAGAAGCAUAUAUUUCUCUUUGCUUUUCAUCCUGGAUAACCAUAGAGUAAGCUUGGCCAAGAGAAGGCAAAGGGAAGUCAACAGUAUGUUGCUUCUUACACAUAUGUAGGUGUCAUUCAGGCCCAUUAAAAAUUGCAGCAGUCUCUGGUCUUGGUGCGUUUUCAGAUUUUUCCGUUAGCUCAACAUACACAUUCACAUGAACAAGUAGAAAAAUUGAUCAAGGUAUUUAGUUCAUGCUUAUCUUAGCCUGGGCCUUAGAUUCUGGUUACUGUUAUUGCAUGUCAUUCAUCUUUUCGUUUUUAUGCUUCUGUUACUAUUACGGUUUCUAGUGGAGUUACUAAUGAAUUCUCUUUUCUUGUUUUUUAUUUUAUUUUUGUAGGGUCUAUCGGAAACAACCUCUCUGCCCCUAUCGGGGCAGGGGUAAGGUCUGCGUACACAUUACCCUCCCCAGACCCCAAUAUGUGGUAUUUUACUGGGUAGUAGUAGUAGUUGUUGUUGUUGUAUUUAGUUCAUCCCACAAACUUUUCAUUUUUGUGAAAUAACUUGAAACACUAAAGUUACCUUGAACCACAACGCUUAGUUCUUUCUGUAGUUGAAAAAGUGUAGCCCCAUUUGUCUGACCAAAUCUAUCUUCUAAUUCAUUCCACAGAUCUUUUACAUUGUGAGAGUAAAGAACACUUUCUGCAAUUUCUUUUGACAGAGAGUUAAGGAGCCAAGACAACACCAUGUCAUUUCCUCUAGCCCAAGCGCUUUGAAGACCAGAGUUUUCAUCUAGAAUGAAAAGAGUUCCAUCUAUGAAACCUAGUUUAUUCUUGGUAGAAAGAGCUAUGACUACUGCUCUACGCCAAGCUCCAUAGCUUUUGCCAUCAAAAGCUGAGGAAACAAGGUUCAUGCCUGGGUAGUCUGAAGGAUGAAGAAAGAAAGGGUGUGAUGAAUCAAUGACACCUUUCUUGGUUGAAUCAGUUGUUGCUGCAACUACAGCUUCUGUUGUGUCUCCCAUUGUAAGGAAGAGAGCAAAAUUGAAAGAUGAAUAAGGGUUUCAAAUAUCAGGUUGUUCGACCUGCUCUGAUACCAUGUAGAAACAGAGAAAAUUUGAACCCAAUAUGAAUUGGUGUAUGUUGUAUUAAAUCGAAAUAUUAUGUACAAUGUAGCUAAUUUAUACAAUUUACUCUAUGUACUACUCCUAUAUGUGUCCAUGUAUAAUUUGCAUUUCUCUAACAGAUUUUGUCAUACUGUGCAUAAAAAAUAUAUACAAGGAAAUAUCAAAUA